AGAGCAUCCUCAGCAGCUGCCACAGAAGCUGCAGCUGCUGCCGCUGCCUCCUCCUCCUCCUCCUCCUCGUCCUCGUCCUCCACCUCUUCCUCCUCCACCACCACCACCUCCUCCUCUUCCUCCUCCAGCCGCCGCCACCGCUGCCCCUGUGUCUAGUAUCCCCUCUGGUCCUCCUUCCUCUCCCAGUUCCUGCUCCUCCUCCUCCUCCCACCCCCGGCGCUUGCUGCCCGGCGGGGAAGGGCAGAACCCGCAGCAGCGGCUCGCCCUCCCUUGGUCCACGAAGAGGCUGGAACAGCCUAGUCCCCCAGCCCAUCUGAGUUCAUUUUGAAUCUCAACUUUGUUCUUCACCAUAUUUGAUAAUCCCUGCCAGCUUUGGGUCAUCUUCAGACGUGGUAAGUACAUUUUCUGUGUCAUCUAAGUUAUUAGUAAAAGUGGGAGAGCCCUGUGGCCUUUCUCUGGUGGCUUUUCUGCUGACUGCCACCUAUGCUUUGUGUAAAAUUCUUUGAUCAAUUGCCAGUGCAUUUGACUUGGGGUAUGACCUGGUUAAUACAUUGCUGCCUUAUCUUCGUUCAUUCCUGAGAAAGUUAUGAGACAAUUUCAGAGGCACUGCUGAAUCCACAAUACGUUAUGGUUACGAAGGACGGGAUGGAUGAAGGACGAUCUUUUGUUUUGUAAAAUGGAAACUGUUGUACUUUUUAUCUAAUUAUGAACGUAAUGCAGACUUGUUGUAAAGGUUAACAGCAUACAAAACUAUGUGAAUUAGAAAGUAAAAGUCCCUCUGUAAUUCUUUGGGCUGACAACCCACUAGAUAACUGUGGUUAAUGGUUUUGCUCAUUCAUAAACACAGAUCUGUGAUUCAAAUCGAAUUGUACUGUAAGAAUGUUCUGUGACCGGCUUCUUUGUACUUACAAUCUUUGGGAAACAUCUUUCCUUGUCAGAAUACAUAGAUUUACAUCCUUUCUUAUCAACAACAUAGUGUUCUCUUCUGUGGAUGUUUAGUCACUUAUCUCAUCAAUCCCGUAUUGAUGGACAUUGAGACAUUGGCACAUUUUUGCAGUUGCAAGCAGUGUGGCACGAUCAACUUUCUUUGCUGGUUUGAGAUGUUAUGUCAGGUGGUGGUUAUUGGCUCUACUGGAUUCCCCAUCCCUUGGGGAUCUUGUUUUCAGUGUUCUAAAUGCCAAAGGCUGCUCUUACCAAAGAUAGAAGAACUAGAAGAGGGAGCUGCCAGUGCCCAACUCAUCAUGUUUUGAGCUUGAGAUCAAAACCUUGUCCUCCCUCAAAGUGGAGUUACAGCUGUUUGAACUCUUGGGGGCCUUAGGAUAAGCAAGAAUCAAGGCACCUGAAGAUCAAGUCCUGAGAGAGAGAGAGGCUCCAUGGGAGGAUCAGGCACUGGUUGGCAAAGAUGAGGUGAUUAGGAGCAAGAAAAAGACGGAGACCUUCCUUGCCGUUGAGCCACUCUUCCCCAUCGCACACUCUCAGCUCUGCCAGGUUAGGCCACUUGCUGGGCCCUUCUUUCUGAUCUUCACACCUUUCCUCCUCCAUGGGGGGGGGGUCUUCCUCCCUGCACACAUCUACCUCCCCAGAACAAGGUAGGAAUCACCUACUCUGAACUUCCAGAACACUUCAAGAGCAUGGGCUUGAGAGAAGAACCCGUGUUUGAAUAGCAGAGCUGUACGUGCCCAACUCCAUGAUCUUAUAUAAGCCAUGUAUCCUUUCUGGGCCUAAUUAUCCUCAUCUAUAGAAUGAAGAUAAGGCUAUAUAACAUAUUUCAAAACACCUAACUCAAUGCCUGGCUGAUAUGAAGCACUUUAUAAAUGUUAGCUGCUGUUAUCAUCAUGGGUGAUCAUAUUACCUAUUCCAUAGAGUUAUGAAGAUUAAGUGAGAACAUACAUAAAACACCCAACACAGUGCUCCACAUAAGUUGAGAGUUAAAUGUUUUUUUAACUUUUUUUUUUUUUUUGCCUUUUGUCUGUUUAGGGCCGCACCCUUGGCAUAUGGAGAUUCCCAGGCUAGGGAUCUAAUUGGAGCUACAGCUGCUGGCCUACACCACAGCCACAGCCAUAGAAAUGCCAGAUCUGAGCUGCGUCUGUGACCUACACCACAGCUUACGGCAACGCCAGAUCCUUCACCCACUGAGUGAGGCCAGGGAUCAAACCUGCAACCUCAUGGCUCCUAGUUGGAUUCAUUUCUGCUGUGCCACGAUGGGAACUCCUUUUUUUUUAAACUUUUUAAAAUGAUUUUUAUUUUUUCCAUUAUAGUUGGUUUCCAGUGUUUGUCAAUUAUCUUCUGUCCAGCAAAGUGAGCCACUCACACACACAUAUAUAUAUACAUUGUUUUUCUCACAUUAUCCUGCUCCAUCAUAAGUGACUAGACAUAGUUCCCUGUGCUAUACAGCAGGAUCUCAUUGCUUAUCCAUUCCAAAGGCAAUAGUUUGCAUCUGUUAACCCCAGACUCCCAGUCCCUCCCACUCCCUCUCCCUCCUGAGAGUUAAAUAAAUGACAGCGAUGACUGAUUAUAUUUGUAUCUCCCUUUGGAUACUCACCUCAUUAUAUCUUGAGUUUUUUCUAUUUGUGUUCAUGUCUUGAUCUCCUCCUCUAAUUUAUAAGCUCCCUUGAGAGCAGAGUUCACUCUCUCUCUUUCUUUCUCUUUUCUUUCCCCCUGCCCACACCAACUAGAAAGCAUAAAAGACCCAGUGCUAGGGAUUAGUGGGGCUUUUUAACAUUUGGAUCAAUGUGGAGUUCCCUGGUGGCUCAGCAGGUUAAGGAUCUGGUGUUGUCACUGCCGGUCGGGUGGCUCAGGUCACUGCUGUGGGACAGGUUUGAUCCCUGGCCUGGGAACUUCUGCAUGCUACAGGUAGGGCCCAAAAUUUAAAAAAAAAAAAAA
rnacentral:lncRNA from 1 species